rnacentral:rRNA from 1 species
GACGAACGCUGGCGGCGUGCCUAAUACAUGCAAGUCGAACGCAGUGGGGACGGGUGAGUAACACGUGGGUAACCUCCCAUCAGAGGGGAUAACACUUGGAAACAGGUGCUAAACCGAUACUGAUGGAUGGUCCCUCGGUGCAUUAGCUGUUUGGGGGGGUAACGGCUCACCAAGGCGACGAUGCAUAGCCGAGCUGGAGGGGUGAUCGGCCAAACUGGAAUGGAGACAGGGCCCAGACUCCUACGGUAGGCAGCAGUAGGGAAUCUUCGGCAAUGGACGAAAGUCUGACCGAGCAACGCCGCGUGAGUGAAGAAGGUUUUCGGAUGGUAAAACUCUGGUGUUAGAGAAGCGGUAUCUAACCAGAAAGCCACGGCUAACUACGUGCCAGCAGCCGCGGUAAUAC